rnacentral:rRNA from 1 species
AUUGAACGCUGGCGGCAGGCCUAACACAUGCAAGUCGAGCGAGUGGCGGACGGGUGAGUAAUGUAUGGGAAACUGCCUGAUGGCGGGGGAUAUCUACUGGAAACGGUAGCUAAUACCGCAUACCCUCAGAUGCACCCAUAUGGGAUUAGCUUGUAGGUGGGGUAAAGGCUCACCUAGGCGACGAUCCCUAGCUGGUCUGAGAGGAUGACCAGACACACUGGAACUGAGACACGGUCCAGACUCCGACGGGAGGCAGCAGUGGGGAAUAUUGGACAAUGGGGGCAAGCCUGUUGCAGCCAUGCCCCGUGUAUGAAGAAGGCCCUGGGGUUGUAAAGGACUUUCAUUGUGGAGGCGUUACCGGCAGAAGAAGCACCGGCUAACUACGUGCCAGCAGCCGCGGUAAUUC